rfam:[Clostridium] litorale DSM 5388 strain W6 CLIT_24c, whole genome shotgun sequence.
GGUCAAGUUAUUAAGGGCAUAAGGCGGAUGCCUUGGCAUUAGGAGCCGAUGAAGGACGUGGUAAGCUGCGAUAAGCUUCGGGGAGGUGCAAGCAACCUUUGAGCCGAAGAUUUCCGAAUGGGGAAACCCACUUGGGGUAAUGCUCAAGUAUCUUCAGGUGAAUACAUAGCCUGUUGAGGGGAACUCGGGGAACUGAAACAUCUAAGUACCCGAAGGAAGAGAAAGAAAAGAUCGAUUCCCUAAGUAGCGGCGAGCGAACGGGGAUUAGCCCAAACCAGAGAGGUUUUCCUCUCUGGGGUUGCGGACUUGUCACAAAGGAAGAGGUAUUGUAACCGAAGGGGUCUGGAAAGGCCCACCACAGAAGGUAACAGUCCUGUAGGUGAAACGAGAAGACUUCCGACAAGCUCCAGAGUACCACGAGACACGUGAAACCUUGUGGGAAGCUGGGAGGACCACCUCCCAAGGCUAAAUACUACCUAAUGACCGAUAGCGCAUAGUACCGUGAGGGAAAGGUGAAAAGAACCCCGGAAGGGGAGUGAAAUAGAACCUGAAACCUUAUGCCUACAAGCUGUGGAAGCACAUUAUUAGUGUGACCGCGUACUUUUUGUAGAACGGGCCAACGAGUUACGGUAUGUAGCAAGGUUAAGAAGCUAAGCUUCGGAGCCGCAGCGAAAGCGAGUCUUAAAUGGGCGCUUCAGUUGCAUGCCGUAGACCCGAAACCAGGCGACCUAUCCAUGGACAGGAUGAAGCGAAAGUAAAAUUUCGUGGAGGUCCGAACCCACGCACGUUGAAAAGUGCGGGGAUGAGCUGUGGAUAGCGGUGAAAUUCCAAUCGAGCCUGGAGAUAGCUGGUUCUCCCCGAAAUAGCUUUAGGGCUAGCCUCGGGAUUAGAGACAAGGGGGUAGAGCACUGACUGUCCUAGGGGCCCUUUGGGUUACCGAAGACUAUCAAACUCCGAAUACCUUGUUCUUUUUCCCGGGAGUCAGUCUAUGGGUGAUAAGGUCCAUGGACAAAAGGGUAACAGCCCAGACCAUCAGCUAAGGUCCCAAAGUGUGGAUUAAGUGGAAAAGGAUGUGGGAUUGCACAGACAACCAGGAUGUUGGCUUAGAAGCAGCCACUCAUUCAAAGAGUGCGUAAUAGCUCACUGGUCGAGUGAUCCUGCGCCGAAAUAUUACCGGGGCUAAAAUCCACCACCGAAGCUAUGGAUCCGUAAGGAUGGUAGGGGAGCGUUGUAUAAGGAGCGAAGCUGUACCGCAAGGAGCAGUGGACUUUAUACAAGUGAGAAUGUUGGCAUGAGUAGCGAGAGGCAGGUGAGAAUCCUGCCGGCCGAAAACCCAAGGUUUCCUGAGGAAGGUUCGUCCUCUCAGGGUUAGUCGGGGCCUAAGCUCAGGCCGAAAGGCGUAGGCGAUGGACAACAGGUUGAUAUUCCUGUACCACCAACCACCAUUUGAGUGAUGGGGUGACACAGUAGGAUAGGCCAUCCUUCAGUUGGUUUUGAAGGUCCAAGCGUUAAGGGAGUCGAAAUAGGCAAAUCCGUUUCGAUAAUUCUAAGGCGUGAUGGGGAGCGAAAUUUAAGUAGCGAAGUGGCUGAUUUCACACUGUCAGGAAAGCCUCUAACGAGGUGGAAGGUGCCCGUACCGCAAACCGACACAGGUGGGUGAGGAGAGAAUCCUAAGGCUAGCGAGAGAACUAUUGUUAAGGAACUCGGCAAAAUUACCCCGUAACUUAGGGAGAAGGGGUGCCCCGUUAGUGUGAAAUCAACCACUUCGCUACUUAAAUUUCGCUCCCCAUCACGCCUUAGAAUUAUCGAAACGGAUUUGCCUAUUUCGACUCCCUUAACGCUUGGACCUU